rnacentral:rRNA from 1 species
AGAGUUUGAUUCUGGCUCAGAACGAACGCUGGCAGCGUGGAUUAGGCAUGCAAGCCGAACGAGAUCCGGUGUUAUAGCAAUAUAGUGCCGGUGAAAGUGGCGUAAGGGUGAGUAACGCGUGGGUAACCUACCCCCUAGCUGGGGAUAACCCGCCGAAAGGUGGGCUAAUACCGAAUGUGGUGGUUUCGCGCAAGCGAGAUUGACCAAAGGUGGGGACCUUUCGAGGCCUGUCGCUUGGGGAGGGGCCCGCGUACCAUCAGCUUGUUGGUGAGGUAACGGCUCACCAAGGCUCACGGUUAGCUGGUCUGAGAGGAUGAUCAGCCACACUGGGACUGAGACACUGCCCAGACUCCUACGGGAGGCUGCAGUCGAGGAUCUUCUGCAAUGGGCGCAAGCCUGACAGAGCGACGCUGCGUGGAGGACGAAGGCCUUCGGGUUGUAAACUCCUGUCUUUCGGGAACAAUUGUCCCGGCGUGAAUAGCGUCGGGUCUUGAUGGUACCGGAGGAGGAAGCCACGGCUAACUCUGUGCCAGCAGCCGCGGUAAUACAGAGGUGGCGAGCGUUGUUCGGAUUUACUGGGCGUAAAGGGCGCGUAGGCGGCACCGUAUGUCGGACGUGAAAUCCCACGGCCUAACCGUGGAACUGCAUUCGAAACUGCGGGGCUAGAGUACAGGAGAGGAGAGCGGAAUUCCUGGUGUAGCGGUGAAAUGCGUUGAUAUCAGGAGGAACACCGGUGGCGAAGGCGGCUCUCUGGAAUGUUACUGACGCUGAGGCGCGAAAGCCGGGGGAGCAAACAGGAUUAGAUACCCUGGUAGUCCCGGCCCUAAACGGUGCGCACUUGGUGUGGGGAGUAUUGACCCUCCCCGUGCCGGAGCUAACGCGUUAAGUGCGCCGCCUGGGGAGUACGACCGCAAGGUUAAAACUCAAAGAAAUUGACGGGGGCCCGCACAAGCGGAGGAGCAUGUGGCUUAAUUCGAUGCAACGCGAAGAACCUUACCAGGGCUUGAAAUGUAGCUGCACGCCCCGCGAAAGCGGGGAAGCCUUCGAGGGUGCUACACAGGUGCUGCAUGGCUGUCGUCAGUUCGUGCCGUGAGGUGUUGGGUUAAGUCCCGCAACGAACGCAACCCCUGUGCUUAGUUGCCACCGCCGAUGAUGAGUCGGCGCGCACUCUAGGCAGACCGCCUGUUUAAGCAGGAGGAAGGUGGGGAUGGCGUCAAGUCAGUAUGGCCUUUAUGUCCUGGGCUGCACACGUGCUACAAUGGUCGGUACAGAGGGACGCAAGACCGCAAGGUGGAGCAAAUCCCCAAAACCGGCCUCAGUUCGGAUUGAAGUCUGCAACUCGACUUCAUGAAGCCGGAUUCGCUAGUAACGGCGCAUCAGCUACGGCGCCGUGAAUACGUUCCCGGGCCUUGUACACACCGCCCGUCACAUCAUGAAAGCCGUCUGCACCCGAAGUCGCCGAUCCAACCCGCAAGGGAGGUAGGUUCCGAAGGUGUGGGUGGUGAUUGGGAUGAAGUCGGAACAAGGUA